rfam:TPA: Bos taurus chromosome 10, whole genome shotgun sequence.
UCCCUGGUGGUCCAGUGGUUAGGAUUCCACACUUCCACUGCUGAGCACCUGGGUUCAAUUCCUGGUUGGGGAA